CGGAAAAAAGCAACAACAACGGUACUGGUUGGGUGCGUCGUG
rnacentral:SRP_RNA from 1 species